rnacentral:rRNA from 1 species
CCUACGGGAGGCAGCAGUAAGGAAUAUUGGUCAAUGGACGAAAGUCUGAACCAGCCAUGCCGCGUGAAGGAUUAAGGCCCUCUGGGUUGUAAACUUCUUUUAUCUGGGACGAAAAAAGGGUAUUCUUACUCACUUGACGGUACCAGAGGAAUAAGCACCGGCUAACUCCGUGCCAGCAGCCGCGGUAAUACGGAGGGUGCAAGCGUUAUCCGGAUUUACUGGGUUUAAAGGGUGCGUAGGUGGGCUUGUAAGUCAGUGGUGAAAUCUCCGGGCUUAACCCGGAAACUGCCAUUGAUACUAUAGGUCUUGAAUUAUCUGGAGGUAAGCGGAAUAUGUCAUGUAGCGGUGAAAUGCUUAGAUAUGACAUAGAACACCAAUUGCGAAGGCAGCUUACUACGGAUAUAUUGACACUGAGGCACGAAAGCGUGGGGAUCAAACAGGAUUAGAUACCCUGGUAGUCCACGCCCUAAACGAUGGAUACUCGACAUCAGCGAUACACUGUUGGUGUCUGAGCGAAAGCAUUAAGUAUCCACCUGGGAAGUACGAUCGCAAGAUUGAAACUUAAAGGAAUUGACGG